UACAGAGGGGGCAAGCGUUAUUCGGAAUUAUUGGGCGUAAAGGGCGCGUAGGCGGCUUGGCAAGUGGAUGGUGAAAGCCCGGGGCUCAACCCCGGAGGUGCAUCCGAAACUCUGGGGCUGGAGGUCGGAAGAGGAGGGUGGAAUACCCAGUGUAGAGGUGAAAUUCGUAGAUAUUGGGUGGAACACCGGUGGCGAAAGCGGCUCUCUGGUCCGGACCUGACGCUGAGGCGCGAAAGCGUGGGGAGCAAACAGG
rnacentral:rRNA from 1 species